UUACAACAUUGUUAUUCGUUUUCUUCUCGUGGAAUUGUGCCGUAUUUCACAUUUUUUCCCGACGAAGAAAAUAUCGGGGCAACAGCUUUCCCUGGGUAGGAAUAAAAAAUCCCUUUCAGCUGCAAGUGAAGAAAUAUUGGAAAACAAACAGGCAUCACACAGCCUCGGGAUAGCAGACUGGCACUCGCCCAAUCACCUGAAUCUAAGAGAACAGAUGAGCUUCUCUGUCAGGGAGUUAAACAGACAUGCUGCCAACGAGGACACAUUCAACAGCACAGAAAACAACCCCGGAUUUUUUUUCCCCUACUUUUUCUUCCUUUUUAAUAAAUAACCGUCUUUAUGACCUUUCAGAGAUCACAGAGUCACAGCAUGGGGGAAUGAAUCCCCAGCCGGCUUGUCACCCUGGCCAAUACCCCCAGGCCUCCA